rnacentral:tRNA from 1 species
GCCCUCCUGGCGAAACUGGUAGCCGCAUUCGCCCUAAAAGCGAACGGCCCUUGCGGUCAUGUCGGUUCGACUCCGACGGAGGGCA